UACGGGGGGGGUAAGCGUUGUUCGGAAUUACUGGGCGUAAAGGGCUCGUAGGCGGCCAACUAAGUCAGACGUGAAAUCCCUCAGCUUAACUGGGGAACUGCGUCUGAUACUGGAUGGCUUGGAUUCGGGAGAGGAAUGCGGAAUUCCAGGUGUAGCGGUGAAAUGCGUAGAUAUCUGGAGGAACACCGGUGGCGAAGGCGGCAUUCUGGACCGAUACUGACGCUGAGGCGCGAAAGCGUGGGGAGCAAACAGG
rnacentral:rRNA from 1 species